rnacentral:lncRNA from 1 species
GAAAAAGGUCUUUCAUGGGGCAAACGGACCAACCUUUGGUACCAAAGUUAGCAACUACCCACCAUGCCCCAAGCCAGAUUUGAUCAAGGGUCUCCGGGCUCACACCGACGCCGGCGGAAUCAUCUUGCUCUUCCAGGAUGACAAAGUCAGUGGCCUUCAGCUUCUUAAAGAUGGCCAGUGGAUUGAUGUGCCCCCAUUGCGCCACUCCAUUGUUGUCAACCUCGGUGACCAAAUUGAGGUACAUACAUUAUUAUACUAUGGGCCUGUGCAGCCCUGUUUUCGCAACUAUUGCGCUUCAGCUUAAUUUUUAAAAGCACAUAUAAUAUAACGACACUGUUUAACAAACGCUUCCGUUACAGGUGAUCACCAAUGGAAAGUACAAGAGUGUGGAGCACAGAGUGGUUUCUCAAACCGACGGCGAGGGCCGGAUGUCCCUAGCUUCAUUCUACAAUCCUGGAAGUGAUGCUGUGAUCUAUCCAGCACCAGCAUUGCUUGAAAAAGAAGCUGAGAAGAAACAAGUGUACCCAAAAUUUGUUUUUGAGGACUACAUGAAGCUCUAUGUUCCCCUCAAGUUCCAGGCCAAGGAACCAAGAUUUGAAGCCAUGAAAGCUGUGGAAACUAAUGUUAACUUGGGUCCAAUCGCC